CCAGUAGAAUUUUUGAAAGUCGUAUAUGUUACGGUGUUUUAAAUCAUGUAUAAAGGAAAUUCACUUAAAAUCGUUAAACAUGUUUUACCAUUGCCUACUAAGAUAAAUAUAAUUAAAUUAUGUAUAAUUUCUUCCUUAUCCUUCUACGACAAUGGUGCACUCCUCAUCGGUAAAAACAGAUCUUAUAUUUUUUCAAUCAAAUGGGUUUCACAUUUUUUUUAUAAACAAUUCAGGAGUAUGAGUAGGUCAAUAAAUUUUACAACCAGCAUGAUAUUUCAAAGAAAAGUUUUUACAUAUAUUUUUUUUUUUAUUCAUCUAAAUACACCAAAAAACAUUUGACACAGGAUCAGUAUAGUUUGUGGUGAGAGUACGGAGUGUAAGACGAAUGGACCACGGGUUCGUGAUGGUACUCGUGUUCGU